rnacentral:lncRNA from 1 species
CGGGGUGUCAUUGGCUCUGGGAAGCGGCAGCAGAGGCAGGGACCACUCGGGGUCUGGUGUCGGCACAGCCAUGGCGGGCGCGUUGGUGCGGAAAGCGGCGGACUAUGUCCGAAGCAAGGAUUUCCGGGACUACCUCAUGAGCACUUCUGGGGCCCAGUAGCCAACUGGGGUCUUCCCAUUGCUGCCAUCAAUGAUAUGAAAAAGUCUCCAGAGAUUAUCAGUGGGCGGAUGACAUUUGGUACAGCCUCGGAACUGGCUUCUGUUUGCAUGCCACGCAACAAAUGAAGUAGCCCAGCUCAUCCAGGGAGGGCGGCUUAUCAAACACGAGAUGACUAAAACGGCAUCUGCAUAACAAUGGAAAAGGAAGAACAAGGUCUUGAAGGGACAGCAUUGCCAGCUGCUGCUGAGUCACAGAUUUCAUUAUAAAUAGCCUCCCUAAGGAAAAUACACUGAAUGCUAUUUUUACUAACCAUUCUAUUUUUAUAGAAAUAGCUGAGAGUUUCUAAACCAACUCUCUGCUGCCUUACAAGUAUUAAAUAUUUUACUUCUUUCCAUAAAGAGUAGCUCAAAAUAUGCAAUUAAUUUAAUAAUUUCUGAUGAUGGUUUUAUCUGCAGUAAUAUGUAUAUCAUCUAUUAGAAUUUACUUAAUGAAAAACUGAAGAGAACAAAAUUUGUAACCACUAGCACUUAAGUACUCCUGAUUCUUAACAUUGUCUUUAAUGACCACAAGACAACCAACAGCUGGCCACGUACUUAAAAUUUUGUCCCCACUGUUUAAAAAUGUUACCUGUGUAUUUCCAUGCAGUGUAUAUAUUGAGAUGCUGUAACUUAAUGGCAAUAAAUGAUUUAAAUAUUUGUU